GCCACGUACGGCGACUGGCGCACGCGGAACCGACCGCGGGGGAGCCGUACGGGAAGACCGCACGAGGUGCCGUCCGCCUGGGCACCCCGG
rnacentral:ncRNA from 2 species